UGAAAUCCAGCCUGAGCUUUUAUCUGCUCUCUCCUCUCAAGUAAACCUGAAAGAGGAUGAAAACCAUGUAGGGUGAGAAAUAAUUCUUUAUCAUAGUUAUUUUAGGAUAGAUUUUGAUAAACAGAAGUCCAAGGACAAGUUUUCAGAGGUCUUGAUGUUCCCUACAAGACUUUAAAAAAAUUGUAAUGUCAUUGAUUAUCACUGAAUAAUUUAAAAUAGCAUAUUCUGAACUAUCGUCAAAAUUGCUUUAUUUCCAAAUCUUUUCUCACAAUUUCAGUGUCCAAGUUUGCAAUUAUAUUUACAAAUGAGUUGUCACCAGUCAGACAGGGCUACUUUAACUGUCCCAGGCUAAUGAGAAAAAAACAAAGGCAGAUUUAGUAGGCACAGGAUGAUCUCCUGCCGAGUGAACUCUAAAUGACAUCACUCUGAACUGCGGGAUGAAGGCUCUGAAGCAAUCCAAAAAGUGGUAAAAAAAAAAUGAGCUUCAGUCCAACAGAUUGGAAAAGGCACACACAAAUUAAAGGAAUAGUCCACAUCACAGCCCUAGUGCAAGCAGCAAUCUAGUUUCAGCACAAUUAAUAACUCUUGACAAUUUAAAUUAUUUUUGCUUUGGUAAUUUGUUUGGUUUUAGCUUGUUAAUUUGUUUUGACUUCAAAGUAGUAUGAAUUAAAAACAUAACGACUUUAGAUCUAGUUUUGUGUGGAUGCAUAUUCAAACAAUAUGAGGAUAAAUAAUUUAAUUCCAUAUUGCAGGGUGUGUGAAAACAUUUAUCUUUAAAAGGAUCCAUGGACACUGGAUUUUGAUUCAGACCAGCAUGGAAGUUUAGCUGUCAUGGUGCUGGGUGAGUUCCUGGGAGGGACCAUGCCCUACCAGAAACAGCUCCCCAUGGACCAAGGAUGGGAAAUCCAUGGCAUGCAACAUUUUGCACAAUUUCACUGACAUUUAAGAGAUUUUGCUUUAGGCUGUUCAUCUCAUUUCUCUCUUCUUAGACUCAUGUUA
rnacentral:lncRNA from 1 species